rnacentral:rRNA from 1 species
UGGGGUAUAUUGGACAAUGGGGGGAACCCUGAUCCAGCCAUGCCGCGUGUGUGAAGAAGGCCUUAUGGUUGUAAAGCACUUUAAGCGAGGAGGAGGGUACUGGUAUUAAUACUACCAGCUACUGGACGUUACUCGCAGAAUAAGCACCGGCUAACUCUGUGCCAGCAGCCGCGGUAAUACAGAGGGUGCGAGCGUUAAUCGGAUUUACUGGGCGUAAAGCGUGCGUAGGCGGCUAAUUGAGUCGGAUGUGAAAUCCCCGAGCUUAACUUGGGAAUUGCAUUCGAUACUGGUUAGCUAGAGUGUGGGAGAGGAUGGUAGAAUUCCAGGUGUAGCGGUGAAAUGCGUAGAGAUCUGGAGGAAUACCGAUGGCGAAGGCAGCCAUCUGGCCUAACACUGACGCUGAGGUACGAAAGCAUGGGGAGCAAUCAGG